AGGGGAAUGUCACUCCGCGAUAACACACUAAAACGCACGAAAACGAGCUCGAAAAGCAUCAACGCUACUCAUCGUACCGAGUUUUCACAUAACGCCACCAGAAAGUAUGUUAUCGCAAGUUAACGCGCGUUAAAGCGAGUUAAAGCGGUCAGCGUCUGCUCGAUUUUUGAACCAAACCAAAUCGAUCUUGCAACCCUGCCGUCAUUUUCGAGUAGUUUUUUUUUCGGGUUUGGCAACCCGUUCUUUGUUUUGAUUAUUUUCCUGCAGUUUUCGUAAAUAAACAUGCUGCAGCAAUCUGUGAGUUUCAUUUUUUUUACCCACUCGGCGGCGAAACCGCUGCAGGGGGCAGGUGAAAUCGUCCCGAGUCCGAGGUACGAGGAGAUGUUUGAACCGAUGGCAGAUCCGGAGAAUCCGGGUUUGACGAAGCAGAUGCGGGAGCCGAAGAAUAUUCUUCAGGGUUUGUGGAGGCGGAACAUAUUAGUGACUUUCAAUUUGAGAACCAGCGAAAGGCGGUCCACUGUUUCUAUGGGACGCGUUGGUCCUUUGGUGGAGGAAGGACCUAGUGGAGGUGGUGGGGCACUUGCAGGCCGCGUACGACACGAACGGGAAGAAGAUGUUUGAAUCUUCAAUCAAUCCGGAAGAAGUUGAUGGAGUUUUUGGACUGUGAGGCGAGGACGAGGAACUUGUGUCGAGGCCGAGCGGGUUGUGAUCGAAGAGAUGAUGGCCACAAAGCAGCGCCGGAACCGCAUGACUGAGGAUAAGCCGAACGAGUACAUGCUGCACAACAAGGAAUUGGAAAUUAUCUUGGGCGAUCGUUUCUGCAUCGCCCUUGGCAUCGCCGCACGAUGUCGUAGUCAAUCUGGGCCGAUGUGGUGCCCCGAACAGUGCUUCCUGCUAGUGGCGGGAACGUCCGACGUCCGAUAAGAUCAUUUGGUGGGGCACCUGCAGUGGCGACUUCGUCCAGGAUUAUGAACGACAUCUGGGCGCGGUAAACUCGAUCACCUUCAACGACUAAAACCAGCUCUUGACAACCUUCGACGACGGCAUGGCUUGGCGUCGGCAAAGUCUACAUCUGUUUCAUGACCUGUACGAGCAGCUGAGUGCCUACACCAACAGUAUCGCCGUGCGCUGAUUCUUGAGUUUCUCCUGCUCCUCGCGGAUACGAAUAGUUUCGUGGAGGGAGGUCCACUGUUGAAUCUGGACCACCGCGAGGACAGCAUCAACAGUAAUGGUUUGCCGGCACCGGAGCCUAUGCUGGCGGAGUUCUUCAAGGACAGGCAACUCCAAGCUGAACAUUUCCGAGCCCGACCCCAUCAAAAGGACUCUUCCGCGCAGUGAAGUGACCGGUUACGAUUGGUUCAACAUGAUGCCCAAAAAGAUGAAUCACCGACACAAAUCCUAAGGUCUGCAAAGUGCUGCUGCUGUUCCGUCUGUACCAGAUCAACAACUACCAUCCUCAAGCUGAACAUGGCCACCAAGAAAAUACUGCGCAUCGCCGAUCCUUACUUCACUUAUGGCUACUUCUCACUCUAGUCGAUCCGCGACCUGGUCUAAAAGCGUGACUCCAUCAAGCACCGACAUUGCUGCAUCACAAGCACGGACAAGAUCGAGCGCUAAACGCACUCAACCAGCGGGGCAGCAUUCAGAGAAAGAUCAACGGCUCAAACGGCAAGGGUGGCAACUCCAAGCUGGACGUUCCCAAGCACUGGUCUCGCGCACUGGUCCCACCCCGCGGCACAUUUGUCCCGCAGCCUCCUUAGUUCGAUAUGAUUUUGUACACUUAAUUGAAUA
rnacentral:lncRNA from 1 species